rnacentral:rRNA from 1 species
CUCUUCUUGUUUAGUUUAGGAAGUCUGACCUGCCCGGUGAUUUUGUUUUAACGGCCGCGGUAUUCUGACCGUGCAAAGGUAGCAUAAUCAUUAGUCUUUUAAUAGGGGACUGGUAUGAAUGGUUUGACGAGGAGUUGACUGUCUCAUAUGAAUUGUUUAAAUUUGUCUUUUUGGUUAAAAGACUUUAAAAUGUUAUUGGUAGACGAGAAGACCCUAUAGAGCUUUACAUUUAUAAAUUUUAUGUUAUUUUGUUUAAUUUUUAUGUAGUUUUGAUUAUUUGUUUUGUUGGGGUGACAUUUGAAUAUAUUUAACUUUUAUUUAUUUAUUUGCAUUGAUUUAUGUUUUUUUGAUCCUUUAUUAUGGAUUUUUAGACUAAGUUACCUUAGGGAUAACAGCGUAAUCUUUCCUUGGAGUUCUUAUUUACGGAAUGGUUUGCGACCUCGAUGUUGGAUUAAGAUUAUUAUUGGGUGUAGUGGCUCAAUUCAUAGGUCUGUUCGACCUUUAAAUUCUUACAUGAUCUGAGUUCAGACCGG